rnacentral:rRNA from 1 species
UACGUAGGGGGCAAGCGUUGUCCGGAAUUAUUGGGCGUAAAGAGCUCGUAGGCGGUCUGUCGCGUCGGCUGUGAAAACCUGGGGCUCAACCCCGGGCCUGCAGCCGAUACGGGCAAGCUAGAAUUCGGUAGGGGAGACUGGAAUUCCUGGUGUAGCGGUGAAAUGCGCAGAUAUCAGGAGGAACACCGGUGGCGAAGGCGGGUCUCUGGGCCGUAACUGACGCUGAGGAACGAAAAGCGUGGGGGAGCGAACAGG